rnacentral:misc_RNA from 1 species
UUGGUUUGUUACGGGUGGUUGGCUCUUUGCUUGCGCAACAACUUCCACCUGGCAUACCUCCUCAGUUAUGYGUCAAGGCUUGUAUCGCCUUGAGAGUAUUGCGGGUUUCCUGUAUUGCAUACCAAAUUGCUGGUAUUGUUUUGGUUGAUUGAAGUCCCUUUUCAUCUUGUGUUGCUGUUGUGAUGCAAGAUGAACCUUGAAGCGGUCUCUAUGUUCCAUCAUGUUGAUGCAAAUGCGUUGAUGUUGUGGCCCAUUGAGUGUUGCUUGGUAUCCUUGAUACGGAACAUUAUGUGGGCAUGGGGUCUCUCAUGACUCUUGUUUUGUCCUUGUUCAGYGUUCUUUGAAACGACGGUUCAUGCGYGCCUAGGCUYGUACCUGCGCGAUGUUCUUUGUCAAAGAGGAAUGCUACCUGGUUGAUCCUGCCAGUAGUCAUAUGCUUGUCUCAAAGAUUAAGC